UUCUGCUGUGACGUAGCCAAGGCGGUGGGUUGCCCGGAUGAGGCAGGGUUCGGAGCUGUGUCAGCGACUGAGGCGAUGCGGUGGCAGCAGCGGCAGCAGUGGUAGGAGGAGAGCGCCGCUGGACGGUUGAGGAGCGCGAGGAGGAACAAGGGUGACCAUGAUCAUGGACUGUGAAGAAAUCCCUGAGUUUUCAUGUCCAGAGGAAGAAACUGCAUACUGGAAGGAGUUAUCUUUGAAAUAUAAACAAAGUUUCCAGGAGGCCCGUGACGAGCUGGCAGAAUUUCAGGAGGGCAGCAGAGAACUGGAAGCAGAGUUGGAGGCUCAGCUGGUACAGGCUGAACAGAGGAACCGGGACUUGCAAGCAGACAACCAAAGAUUAAAGCAAGAAGUGGAAACUUUAAAGGAGAAGCUUGAGCACCAGUAUUCACAAAGCUACAAGCAAGUGUCUUUGUUGGAGGAUGACUUGAGUCAGACCCGGGCAAUUAAAGACCAGCUGCAUAAAUAUGUGAGAGAGCUAGAGCAAUCCAAUGAUGACCUUGAGCGUGCUAAGAGGGCCACAAUUGUUUCCUUGGAAGACUUUGAACAAAGACUGAAUCAGGCCAUUGAGAGAAAUGCCUUUUUGGAAAGCGAGUUAGAUGACAAGGAAUCUCUGCUAGUUUCUGUACAAAGGCUGAAGGAUGAAGCAAGAGAUUUAAGGCAAGAAUUAGCAGUACGGGAAAGGCAACAGGAAGUGACCAGGAAGUCAGCUCCUAGUUCCCCAACCUUGGACUGUGAGAAGAUGGAUUCAGCUGUCCAAGCAUCACUCUCACUGCCAGCAACACCUGUUGGGAAAAGCUGUGAGAACAGCUUUCCCUCUCCAAAAGCUCUUCCCAAUGGUUUUGGUACCAGUCCCCUUACUCCCUCUGCCAGAAUAUCUGCACUCAAUAUUGUAGGUGAUCUCCUAAGGAAAGUUGGGGCCUUGGAAUCGAAAUUAGCUGCUUGUAGAAACUUUGCGAAGGACCAGGCAUCGCGGAAAUCUUACAUUUCAGGGAACAUAAACAGCAGCAUGAUCAACAGCAAUGGCAUGAAGUUCUGUCAUUCAGGACAUACGACAUUCUAUGACAAAGCCCCCUGUAGUCUUCUCCCUGCCCCCAAUUGUCGCUGGAUCCUGAAACAGCCACGCAUGUUUAUGGACCCAACCCAAUCUGCUGCUGCCGCUGCCUUAUGAUUGGCCUAUGGUUGGGUGGUGGGACUGAUUGAGGUCAGAUUCCCUGCGCAUUUCAUGGGGCAGUCAAUGGCUUUGACCAAGGCCCACCACCAGGUCUAGGAGGGUCCAGACCAUCAUCAGCACCAGGCAUGCUCCCUCUGAGUGUAUGAAGGGGUUGCAAGGCCAUGAUGGGACUCUAAUUAGUUCGUGAAGGAACAAGAGCUGCUUGCAAAACUUUUCCGUUAGUGCCCCCUGCUGGAGCUGAGUGGGUUGUAGCACUCAGAAGCUGCCUGGAGAAGAUCCCAGCACACACAGAGCACUCCUUAUGUCAAUACAGUCUAUUUUCUUCUAUUUCCAUCGUGGACGUUCUUUAACGUGGUCACCGCUGAUGUCUGUCUCACAGGAUGCUGGAGUUGCACUUGCCUAAAUCACCUUCUCCUGCUGCCCCACCCUCCAGUUUUGUACCUCUGCUAAGUUGGGCCUGCUUUGAUGCUGGAUGGCCCCUUAGCAACUCUCCACCUCCUCCCAAUGCUCCCCAAACUUUGCACAUAGGCACACAGGAUCCCAGUGCUGUAUUUCUUCCCCCCGCCCCCUUUCUGGACAAGACAGCUCAUAUUCAAGGGAAGCCAGGGAAGGCCUAGAACUUCUCUAGCCAGCUGAUACACCUGGGAUGCAGGAUGAACCUCUAUGGACCUUCCAUACUCCCAAUGAAAUGAUGAUGUAUCCAGUGGGCUUGAUACCUGAUGGAGCAGUCCUGCUAAAGAUCUAGCUGUGGUAUCACCUCUGUGGAGCACAAGAAAUGUGUGUGUUGUGCAAUUAUGUCUCUGUUCACCAAAGCUGGUAAUUUUUAAAGUAGAGCAACACCCCCGUUUAAUUUUUUUUAAAAAUUUAGUCAGCUUCAUCCUAUGCUGCUGGCUUUUGCCUACCUUAUUUCAAUAAACCAGUGGUUUGGGGCUCUGGCUUCUUAGUGACAAUUGCCUAAGAGCAAGAAGAGCAAGGGAAAGAGAAGGGAGUAAAAGCCAGAGCAGGCUAGGGGCAAAUUGCCACUCACAGCUUGGAUUGUCAGCCCUUUUCUUGUGUGUCCUUUGCUGCAUUUACUGUUUACAUUUGUUUUACUGUACAUAGGUUUGUAAACAUAAUAUCUUUGCCUAAGAUAUUUGUACAUAACUUGGGCUUUGUAGCUUUAUUUAUUCAGAAUCUCUGAGGCAUGUUUUCCCUAGGACAGUGUAUCAGAUUUCUGUGGUGACUGCCAUCCUGUGGUUCAACGAGAGAUGGUCCAAAAAUAAAGAUCUUUUAAUGUGGACACAUUGGCUUUUGCAGAAAA